CCGGCCGCAGCACCGCGCGUGCGUCGGGCCAUCGCCGAGCCGCAAGCGAAACCGUUGAUGCGCGGGCUCGAACUCCCCGUCCCCAUUUCUCCGGACGCCUGGGACGCAGAUGCCGCCGAAGCCAUCGUGUGCGCGUCGGGGACGCAGCAUCCGCUGCCUCCAUUCCUCUGCGUGGCCUCCGAUGCACAUCCUUAAUUUCUCCAAGUAGGAACCACUAUGUAAAAAAUCUCAAACCCUUCGUUUUCUGCUGCCGCCGCCAUUGGAGGUGCUGUGCCACUAGGACGAUGAGGUAUACGAGGUAUGAGCGCGAGGCGCUCUCAGCGGGGCGCCGUCGUGGGAAGCGCAGGCGAUGCGGUGGGCCGAGGUGCACUCCGCGCUCCCCGCCGCCGGCUUCUCCGGGGAGUACUAGUGCUGCUCGCCACCGACACGCCGGUGAGUGGGAGGAAGGCUUCCCGCGGUGGGAUGAAGAGCCCCGAAGCGGCAACGCCCCAGUUCCAAUUGAGUAAAUCCCAGCCGUGGAGCACCGACAUUUACGAGUUGAGAAUUUAUUGAUUUACGAGCCACAUUGCGACAUUAAUCCUUUUACACUUGCCUUCUGGAUUAUUUGUUUGCUCACUCAUUUUCUUCAUUCACUGUAGUUGAUGGCACUGGAACGAUGCUCAGGCUAAACUUGAAAAUAAGGAGGGCUCGGCUAUUUCCAUGUUUUUGUGUGGGCCAGCAAUGCUGUUUAAUUGUUCUUUUUUGACGCUUCUGUUUAAUUGUUCCUGGAUGAUGGAUGGUGAAAUUUUGUUUUAAUAAGUAGUUCUUGUGCUAAUUGAUUCUUCUAUUUAGCGUGAUAGCAUAUUUUGUUGCAAGUGUAAAAUCUGGGGAGAUGUGAGGAUGAUUUCUUGGCAGUGGUUGCUGUGAUAUUUGGCAAGAAAUAUUGAAGCCAAGAUGUAUCGGUUUUCAGUGUAAAUGAAUGGUGUCAUUGGAGAAUUUAAGCUGAAUGUCUGGUUGGAACUACUUAUCUGGACGUACAUUAUCUGCAUCCUUGGUCACUUUUAUAUAAAAUCAUUGAUCUCUUACUCUGGAAAUUGAACGAAAGUUUGAGCCUUUAGCCAUCUAAAAGGCUGAAACUGGCUCUGAAGCCUCAAAACUUAGUUCAUAUAAAUAUCUGCCAAGAGUAGAGAUGAUUUAUAUACCUCAAUUUUUCAACCUGUUAGUCCUUUCACCUUGCUAUCCGAAAUGUGUGAUCUUGAUGCUAAUUCUAUGCAGGUGGAUAACUACCAAAAGUCAAGGUGAGACCCUGGCCUAAAAGGGGAAAUCGCUAUGUAGUCAGCUCUAGAACAAGGAGAACUACCAAAAGUCAAGGGGAGACCCUGGCUUAAAAAGGGGAAAUCGCUCUGUAGUCAGCUCCAGAACAAGGUGACUGUGGUGCUAUUUGGACAAAGAGAUUGUAUGCAUUCAUCUAUCUGAGCUUAUUUUUGGGAGUAACUGAAAUAGAAGAACAAUUUGUAGACGGCACAGGGAGUUAAUUCAUGCCUGAGGUUGGUAAACCCUAUAUCUAUUGCGGGGUGGUUUGAGGAAGGGACAGCAUGUUACCCACGAAGAUUUUGGCGGUGGAUGAUGCAUGCUAUAGUUACUUAUAGAGUUACCACACCAUUUCCAAUGCUCUAUUUCUAUCUUUCUUUCUCCUACUAGCAAAUUUUAUACAACAUUUCUAGGGAAUUAUAUAUUG